GGCAACAUAGCACAGUGGAUUAGCGCUUUUGACUUUGGAUCAAAAGGUCGUGGGUUCAAAUCCCACUAUGUUUGAUUGAUGCC